GAUUGAUGUGGGGAAGGAGGGUGGGAAUCAUUCAGGUGUUCAGUAUCAGUAUUUAGUCCCCACCAUCGCUGGCGCCUUCAUUUUGCCCGGCAGUAUGUCAACGAAGACUUAGGUUUCUGGGCAAGAGUUGUUUUUUUUCUGAUGAAAAAGAAAACAUUUGCGUCGACCUCGCACGGACAGUUGCACUGAUGGCGACGCAAUAAUACAAGAUACUCCUGUGAGCACAUGUAACGUGUGGGGAUGGGUUAACUUAUACACCCUGGGUGAGCUGGCAGAAAUACAAGGAAGAUUCAACGCGACCAAUAGGUACCUUGAAAUACUGGAAGACGUGAUGGUCCCCAACUGUUCGAGCCAUGGCAUUUCCCUACCCAGAGCGCAUUCUAUUCAUGCAAGACAACUGUCCAAUUCACACAGCCAGGAUAGUUAAGCGAUGGUUUGAGGAACAACAAGACAUUGACCUGCUGGACUGGCCAAGUAAGGGGUGUGAUAUGAAUCCCUUGGAAAAUUGCUGGGGGACCAUCGUCAACUCCUGGAUCCCAGGCCAAGAGCAAUAAUCAAUGCAGCUCCUCCAACACACCAUGUCCGAAAUAGGAGAUAUUCAGAAAAAAUCAACAAAUCGUCUACAAUCAUGUAGCCUCC